rnacentral:rRNA from 1 species
AAGUUCUAGUUAGAUGCAAGCAAGUAGUGAUUAGUGGUGAUAUAUUAAAUGAGAGUAGAAUAGUGAAUAACAUAAAUACACAAAAACAUAAUAUAAAUACACAAAAAAGAAUCAAUUUGCCUAGAUAAUCCAAUUAUUAAGUAAUGAAUUAGUAUCUAAUUAGAGACCCGAAGAGUAGUGAUCUUACCAUGGUCAGGCUUAUAAAAGGCCGAAUGGGUUAUCGUUGUAAAGAUAUCCAAAGAACUGUGGUAAGUUAGUGAAAGACAAUCCUGACUACUAUA